AAUAGAUACCCUGGUAGUCCACGCCGUAAACGAUGAGUGCUAGGUGUUAGGGGGUCCAACCCUUAGUGCCGAAGUUAACACAUUAAGCACUCCGCCUGGGGAGUACGGUCGCAAGACUGAAACUCAAAGGAAUUGACGGGGGCCCGCACAAGCGGUGGAGCAUGUGGUUUAAUUCGAAGCAACGCGAAGAACCUUACCAGGGCUUGACAUCCCUCUGACCGUUCUAGAGAUAGAGCUUCCCUUCGGGGCAGAGGUGACAGGUGGUGCAUGGUUGUCGUCAGCUCGUGUCGUGAGAUGUUGGGUUAAGUCCCGCAACGAGCGCAACCCUUGUCCUUAGUUGCCAGCAUUCAGUUGGGCACUCUAGGGGAGACUGCCGGUGACAAACCGGAGGAAGGUGGGGAUGACGUCAAAUCAUCAUGCCCCUUAUGUCCUGGGCUACACACGUGCUACAAUGGCUGGUACAAAGGGUAGCGAAGCAGUGAUGUGGAGCCAAUCCCAAAAAGCCAGUCACAGUUCGGAUUGUAGGCUGC
rnacentral:rRNA from 1 species